rnacentral:tRNA from 1 species
GGGCGGGUAGUCUAGCGGUUAUGACUCCCUGAUGGAAACGGCGGAGGCCCCAGGUUCAAAUCCUGGCCCGCCCACCA